AUCAGUAUUUGUAGUCAAAGGAUGUUAAGAAGGGUAAAGUUGUUGAACCUCCAAGGGGGCAAUCUAGAUGGCACCACUUGGGAGGAGAUCCAACUCAAUCCUUUCGAGGUGGUGUUUGAGACCAGUGUGACCCCUGUUCAUUGCAUCGUCCUAUAUGCCUGUGAUCCUUCCCCUUCCCUCAGUUGUUCUUCACUUGAGAU
rnacentral:lncRNA from 1 species